rnacentral:rRNA from 1 species
UUAUUUAAUGGCCGCGGUAAUUUGACCGUGCAAAGGUAGCAUAAUCAUUAGUCUAUUAAUUGUGGACUCGUAUGAAUGGUUGGACGAAAUAUUGACUGUCUCUGUUUUAUUAUUAGAAUUUAAAAUUUGAGUUAAAAUGCUUAAGUUUACUUAUUGGACGAGAAGACCCUAUAGAUCUUUAUUAUUAUAAUUUAUAAAUUUUUGGUUUAAUUUUUAUUUUUAAUUUAUUAAUUGUUUUGUUGGGGUGACAUAAGGAUAAUUAUAUAACUCCUUAUAUUAUUAUACAUUGAUUUAUGAUUAUUUGACCUUUUAUUAUUGUUAUAAGACUUAGAUACCUUAGGGAUAACAGCGUAAUUCUUUUUGAGAGUUCAUAUCGACAAAGGAGAUUGCGACCUCGAUGUUGGAUUAAGAUUAUAAUUAGGUGUAGAUGCUUAAUAAUUAGGUCUGUUCGACCUUUAAAAUCUUACAUGAUCUGAGUCA